UUAGACGGUCACAGAGAUCAGCAGUGAAGCAUGUUGUUUAAUUCGAUAACCCACGAUAAAUCUUACCACUUCUUGUAUCUUGGACAGGUGUUGCAUGGCUGUCUUUAGUUCGUGUUGUGAAAUGUUUGGUUCAUUCCGUCAACGAACGUAAUCCUUGUCUUUAGUUAAUUUCCUUAAAGAUAUUUCUUUCUAGAUGAAAGAAGAACGGGGAUGAAGACAAGUCCUCAUGACCCUUAUGAAGUGGGCUACAGACGUGCCACAAAGAUUUCUACAAUAGGUUGCAACAAUUUUAAAGUUUGAGCGAAUCCCUGAAAAGAAAUCCACGAAUAAGAAUCUGGAACUCGAUUCUUUGAAGAUGGAAUUGCUAGUAAUCGUUCAAAG
rnacentral:rRNA from 1 species